AUGAACGCUGGCGGCGUGCCUAACCCAUGUAAGUCGAGCGAUCCAAGUAGCAAUACUGGGAGAGCGGCGGAAGGGUGAGUAACACGUAGAAGACCUGCCUCACCGCAGGGAACAACUUCGCGAAAGCGGAGCUAAUACCCAAAAGGUUCGUUGAUUCAAUGCAACGAGCAGAGUGUGCAAGCGCGUGGUGAGAGGGUUCUGCGGCCCAUCAGCUAGUUGGUAGGGUAGAGGCCUACCAAGGCAACGACGGGUAGGGGGUCUGAGAGGACGAUCCCCCACACUGGAACUGAAACACGGUCCAGACGCCUACGGGUGGCGGCAGGGAGGAAUAUUGGGCAAUGGGCGAAAGCCUGACCCAGCAACGCCGCGUGAAGGAUGAAAGCCUUCGGGUUGUAAACUUCUUUUGAGGGAGACGAGAAAGGACGGUAUCCCUCGAAUAAGCCACGGCUAACUACGU
rnacentral:rRNA from 1 species